CAACACAUGAGGAAUAAAGGGGGCUCAUCUGAUUAGGAUAUUCUCCAUUGUGGUGGAGAUAGCAUUCAGGAUUGGGUGAUCAGUCUCUGCCUGUGAUUGGACUGAGUCUGUCAAAACUUUGAUGACACUCCCUCUGCUGCUAUGGAC